rnacentral:lncRNA from 1 species
GUACAAAAUACUGGACUCCUAAUAAAGUUCCAAUAGAAGUCGGUACUGUCAGAGAAAGACACCAUUGGCCAGUGGGGGAAAAUGAUCCAGAACAAAAUGAGGAUGAAAAUGAGAAAACAACAACAGCAACCAGAAAUAAAGAGGUGAGAGAGAGAGAGAGAGAGAGAGAGAGAGAGAGAGAGAGAGAGAGGAAGAAAAAGGAAUAAAGGAGAAAGAAAGAAAGAAGAAAAGAAGGAAAGAAGGAAGGAAGGAAGGAAGAGAAGUAGAAAGAGAGAGAAAGAGAGACAGACAGACCUCUGGGAUCCACUGAGCAAGGGCCACGGGCAGAGGUCGGCAGAGAGAAUGCUGCUGCCGUUCCUGGGAGGAGAUUCCAUACAAGAGGGAGAUUGUGUCUGGAUGACAGAACAAAGUGGUCGCUGCUACCAAUGGUGACGUCGUUCUGAGCACGGAUAGGUAGAAAGGAGAAUAUAACAUAGUUACAGCUUUGGAUACUAUAUAUCUGUAAUAAGCUCUCGGGCGAAUAAUGCUUCGACCCCCCCCUUUUAUAUAUAUAUAUUAUAUAUAUAUAAGUUUGUCAUCCCCAUAAAUGGAAAAUAUCGCCUCCACUAUGGAGCACACACACAAAAUUGUUAGAUUUCUUUUUCUUUCAAUAGGAUACUUUUAAAAUCAACAUCAAAGACAAAAGGAAGCCGGCCUCCAAACGGCUCGGCCUCGGAACAAUGAAGAAACUUUGGGUUUCCUUUCAAUGCGGUCGAUAGGAUAUUUUUUUAAACCACAGUGUUGCUCACACAGUCUGUGACUGUUUAUCAGAACGUGAGAUCGAUAGAUAAUGUCGUCUAAAAGUCACUUUAAAAAGGGGGGGAAGGAGGGAGGCUGAGAAGUUAACUCUUUAGGCUCCUCGUCAGGUUUUUAUUUAAUUAUUUUUUUUGUCCAAACAAAGCCCGGUGGCAGAGAAAGGGUUGCAUUCACUCACCCCCAGAAAGGAAAUGAAACAAAACCAAACAAAAACCGUGUCUCUCCCCCUCCCCCCACCCCAGGAACAGAAACUCUUUGAAGAGACCCUGGCAGUUCCAUUCUGCGCUGGGAGUAGUUUCUCCAAAACACUGUUUCCACAUAAAUACAAUAAACUCUCUUAUUGGUAUGUCACAAGUGCUCGAUAAACUUUUUCCUUAAAAUGACAAAGGUUGAAGUAGUCCUUUUAUUUCUCUUACAAUAAAAAGCACAAAUUCUUCAGAAUAAGUUCAGUAAGACGCAAACGUCCCCCCUCCCCACUUUCCUUCCGUGUUUUGCUUUACAGAAAAUGUCCCACCUUUUAAAAAAUCUGCAAAUGCCACGAGAGGGGGGAAAAAACCGGUUUUUUUUGUUUUUCGUGUUUUUGUUUUUUCCCCCCCAAAGCUGCCAAGUUUGGCGUGCAAAAUCUGUAUACAAUAGAAAGACAUGCCGACCUUACAGACCAUGCAACCUCAAGGUGUAGGAAACUUAAAAAAAUAUAUUCAUAUAUAUUUAUAUAUAUUUAUAUAUAUAUCAAUGCCCGUAAAACACAUGGGCCCCAAAGUUUACAAAAAGCGGAAUGGAAUGAAUACAUGACUGUGACGAAUACAAAGGAAUGUUCUAUAUCGAAAAUAAAAACAAAGCUGAAAAAGAAGCUCCCCCUCCGACCCCUCCCAAAAAAGAGGCUCUGGAGGCCCUCAUACCUGCCCCUUGCAGAUUCUGGGUCUAAGACCGCCGAAAGAAAGAACCCACCAUCCUUCUUCUCCGGACAGAUCGAGGGAGAAAAGGGAAGCAACGGGAGAAACAAAACCGCUUCGAGGAGGGGCCCUAUCCAACCAGGGCCCACGAACACCAACGUGGGGGGAGCGGGGCACAGCCCUGCCCGCCGGGUUCUGCAGGCCAGGGGAGCAGCCUCGGCGCUCCUGCUGGUGGAGCUCAGGCACAUCCUGGAGGGUCAAAGAUGCUUGGGCUCCGGGGGAGCCAGUAAAGUGCUCACUCACCGACCCUGUGGACCAACAUUUGAAAAAUGCCCCAGUAGCCUCGGCAAAGGUGCAAGUGAAAAACGGGGUGUGGAAAGGAUCCCCUCGUGGGGUCAGCAUGAGAAUGGAGAGCUAAAACGAAGCUCCAUCCACGGGGCAGCGAGAGUGGUGGUCGGCCCGGGAGAAGGGGAGCCCCACGGAGCCACAACGGAAAGGCCGAGCGUGGGCCAGCCCCACCCAAAGACAAAAACCAAAGAGAAACAUCGAUUUUUUUAAACGGAUGGCGGGGGGCCGGAGGAGGCUGACAAAGCAAAAGGGAUUUCACUCGAUGGGGCUUUGCAACAUGCAGUAAAUAGCACAAAGUCCAAAAAUGAUAACGGGGCCGCAGAAAGGUCCCGAUUAUCCCCAGCAUCUUGUAAAAACGACAAACGACUCUUUUGUCUCCGAUAACUGCUUGCAGUGAAGAGGGAGCCCCAAAAACAUCCCCCCUGCUGCUGACACCGAAUGCUGUGCUCCAGGUGACAGCUUGGAAAAGUCUGAGAAAAGGCAUGAAUGGGUGGCUGUUCCGUGGCCAUUUCAAUGCCGCCAGGGCCAAAGAGAAAAAAAAAAGGGAUUCUUUCCACCCCUCCCCCCGACCCUAAAAUCAACCCCAGUCGGAACAACCCCAAGGAGCCGGCUUAGGCUUUAGCCCCAUGGACAACAAGGGGUGCUCACUUGGGUCAAAGGGGGAUCUUUCUUUCUGCACCCAAGGCUGCCCUUCUCAGUCGGCUGCAUGCAGAUCUAAGGCUCAAGGAUAAAUGAAGAAAUCCUCCCCGCUCUUGGUGCUGAUCAGAAAAGCUGAACUGUAAACUAGACUCAAGCUUAGAAAAUUCCUUGGCUGCCCCUUCUCUGGAGAGGGGGCCAACCCCCCCCCCAACAGCUUCAAAUUCUUUCCACAAGUCUGAAUUAAAUCAAUUUUGGAAUGAAAGUGGUGACUUCAAAUGUCACCAAAAAAAAAAAAAAAAAUAAAGAGAGAGAGAGAGAGAGAGAGACACACACACAUAGAAACAGAGAGAGAGAGAGAGAGAGAGAGAGAGAGAGAGAGAGAGAGAGAGAGAGAAAACAGGGGUUGUCCAGAGGAGUGAACUGUACUAUUCUAUAUACUUUGGGGGGGGGGGGAAUACAUGUGUCAAUCGGCCUCCUGCAGCCCCAUGCUCCAGUAAUAAGCAUCUGGUGCUUCAGAGUGAAGGUCUAAACCAGAUGGCAGAAAGAAAAAAAAUUGAAAAACAACACUCCUCGCCCCGUUCCACAUUCUCAAAAGCAUUUUUCCCCUAAGGUCUUUGGAGAACAAAAGUUACAAUUCUAUCUGAGCAACAGUGUCUCGGGGAAGAAUUUUGGAAAUUAUUUUUGUCAAGGCAGACAAGUCUUCCCCGGCGGAGCUCGGCGUGCCGACUGGAGCGGAGGGGGGCCCCCUGGAUGGAAGGUCAAAAACACCCCAGCUCCGCUCCGUCUUUGCCAGAACAAAACUCAGGAAAGAGACCUCGGCUCUAUCGUUCCACGAGCGAGAGCCGAGGAGCUCUCUUUUCGUUAAACGCUCCGUUUCUGAAAACAGACUCUAAAUUGUAAUGUCUCCUCAGCCCGGAGGAAAGAUGCUGACUGUACAAAACAACAAAACAAUCCCCCAAAUAAUAAUAAUUAUAAUAAUAAUAAUAAAAAAGACCUUUAAAGGUUAAAAACUGUAUAAGCAAGGACCGAGGCAAGAAAGACCUUUUGACAUCAUAACAAGUCAGAAAACUGCCCAGUGGAAAACAAGUUCAAAUCCACACAAACGAGGUUUCUUCGGGAUUGAAAAAUAUCGAUACAAAAAUCAACAAGUUUUUCUAGUUCUCGCUACCAAACCUCCCCCCCAAAAAAAAUCCCCAAAACUCUGUGUAUGUGUGCGAAGAGGGGGAGGGGGGACAGAGGUCCUGUUACAAAAGAAACCCAACAUAACAAACAGAACCUGAAAUUAAAAUGCAAACAUCGAAGGUCGUUGCCCAGUGGCGAAUGUGUUGGCGGUCUGAAGCCUUUCUAACUUUCCCUUUCCCUCAGCACCGGUCUGGUCCAAUUCACAAGGAAAACCAUUCGCUAGGGAACCUUGAAAAGGUGACUUUUACAAUCUGCAUUUAUUAUAUUUACCUUUUUAUUUCUUCUAUAAAUGCAUUAUAAAUAUUUUUAUCAAGAUUUCAUAAGAAUCAAGUUUCUAAGCUUGGAGUACAUUUGGAAUAUACAUUAUACAUACAUUAUAUAUAUAUCUAUAUAUAUAUAUCUAUUUAUACCUACAAUUGAAGCAAUACCUCAUGCUAGUCUGCUCUCGGGGAAAAGCAUCCCAAUCUGAAAACUGCAAGUGUAUCUAUUACAUGCGUCGACGACCAAAUUGCUGUGUUCGACCGUUCUGUGAUCGAUGCCGGAAAGAAAACGCCUCGGAUCCUUCUCAAUCUGUCAGACUUCAAAACACCCAACCGUAUUUGCCACUUCGGGGGCAACUCCCUUAAUUUGUCUUAAACAGCAAUGAAAUGAAAUAGAACCACAAAAAAACAAACAAAAAUCCAACGGGACCGAACCGAACUGAACCGAACCGACCGCCCCCCCUUUCCCCCCAACUCAGGAGAGAAUUCCGGAGGCACCGCAGGCAGGGAGGCCGGCUGCCUUCAGUCCUCACGUGAGCACGGGCCGCUCGCUCGCUCCCUCGCUCUCUCUUGCUCGCUCUGGGCUCGCUGGCAGGUCUUGGCUCUGUCAGCCAGAGGAAGUCGCUCCGCAGAGUCCUGCUUUUUCUUUUCUUUUCAACUUAAGGCAUUGUCCUUCAAACUUCUGAAAAA